AUUUACACAGAACGGAAAUGGACCCAAAGUAUUAUUGGUUUCAGUAGACUGUAUUCUUGCAAGAUCACAGACUGAUUUCUUUAUAACUCUGAAGUUAGAUUUCAAGAUAAUAAUAGGACAAUUUUCCCUUUACUGGUUGUAUAAAGUGGAUGCUUAUUCGAAGGCUCCUAUUUAUAGUCUGGAGCCCAGAAAUAAUGUUAAAAAAUGCAAAUAAUAUCCCAUAAUUUUAAUAAAGAUCCAGUAUUCUUGUGAAGGAAAAUGAGAAGGUUAAGAGAAAUGGGGAAAAGGUGCACAUUUCUAAACUUUACACGGAUGAGGAAAAGAAUUUCCAGAACAAAUGUUUCUGCUAUCUCCAUUGCUUCUGAAAUAUCAGAACAGAUAUUUUUUUCACACAAAACUAUCCAUAGACUAGAUCUACUGCAGGAUUGUUCAGGACAGAAAGUGAGGAUUCUGUCUAUAAGAAAGAAGCCAAUCAGUUGUUUUAUGCAAUGGCUGAUGGGAGCAUAGGCAGCAGUGAAAUGAGUUGCAUGAAAUUUCUGACACAGAAAUUUGUGUCAGAAAUUUGCUAUGGGGCUGAUGUUUUGUAAGAACAAAUCUCUGCAAGAGAUUUAGUCCUGGGAUUGUAGAUUGCUUUAAAAGGGAUCCUUUGUUAUUCACUAAGAUUGAUCAAACUUGCCAAUCCCCUCAGGCUAAAAUUAUAUAACAUCUAAAUGAAGCUAAUUAUACAUGUAAGCACAUGAUUUUUUGAUUUUUUUUAUCCCAGGUAAGCUCAAGCACUCCUGAAGACUACAGUAAUAACUGGGAUAAGUAUUUCAGACUUUCUGAAUAAGGAAUGCUCAACCUGUAAUACCUUAUGACAUCCAAACAUAUGCACAUGGAAACUGUCAAGAAGCUUUUUGAGAAGACAAUGAAGAAGAAUCAGAACAAUUUUAAACCUCAGCUAGACAAAUAUCACCGAAGAUCUGUGGACACUUCAAAUGUCUGCCAGCAGCUCACAUUUGCUUUCAAGUUGAUGAAAAACCUAACACUUUCUAAACAUUUCAUUAUAAUGUUUGAUUUGGAAGAAAGCAUUCCUUCUCACAAAACAAAUUGACUCAGCAAAUCCUUGACUCAUUUUUAUGCAAUGGCCUUUUCUUCUCUGAGUAUUUGAGAACAUGACAAAGGUUCAGUAAACCACACAGCAAUGGCUCCCAAAUAUUUUGUUAGCAUUCUAUAGACUUUAAAUGUCUUUUGUACCUCAAAAGCUUAUAAAAAGUAAGGAAAAUGUAAUCCUAGGCACAAAAUACUAAUCUAAGGAUGUAGAGUAGAAAAAAGCACAAGGUACAUUCUUCAAACUAAAAACCACACAUACUUUAUACACAAACUCGGCAGAAAGAUAUGAACUGGAUACCAGUGAAUGCAACUCAUCUUGUUGAAGAGAAAUCUGCAAAAAAAGAAUUUUGUGUAAACUUUUCCUAUAGAUGGUUUUGCUCAUUACUGGCAUACCUCAGUUAAGGAAGUAGAUGUAUUCCUGGGUUUUACUUUUUUUAAACAGAAACUUUUCUGCCAGAGGUAGAAAUAACAAGGCAAAAACAGGGAUAGAUUUUGACGCCACAAAAAGAAGAACCAUUCUGCAGGUUUCAACAAACAUUUUAGACAAAACUAACAUUUGGCACAUACCGUUUUCCCGAAAAUAAGACAUCCCCUGGAAAUAAGACCUAAUAGAGGUUUUGCUGAAUUGCUAAAUAUAAGGACUUCCCCCAAAAGUAAGACCUAACAAAGUUUUUGUUUGAAAAUAUGCUCCCCCUGGUGGCUAGAAGCUGCAAUACCAUCCCUGCUGUACAAGUAGUCCAGGAACUGCUGUGGGAGAUUGUUAUAGUCUUCAGACAGUGUGUGGGAACCAGGUACUUUACAGCCCUUAUUUUUUGUGGCCUUGUGUAUGAGGGGCAGUAUAUCUGUUAUAGGCUGACAACCACUGUACAGUAUAUAAUAAAAGUUCAUUUUUUAUUCAACAAUAAA